GCUGUGUGUAAGACAUAACACAUUAUUAUUCAAAUGGAAACAUAUUAGAAUGGGAUCCCAUUACACACAGGACUUUGUCUUCUGCUCUCCCUCCACUUGGCAAUGUAUGCUGGGCAUCUCCCAUGCCCUUCAGAGCUGUUAUACAAGGCAAUGGGUAAUGGUUGCACAUUCUCUUCCUGUUGUCAGGUGCCCUUUGACUGAGCCCUCCCCCGGUUCUUACUCUACAUCAUUGUCAUGCUGCUCCUUGGGAAGGGGAGGAACUAAGAGAAAAGCCUCCAUUCGGAUUCCUGAAGUCUGGAAAUUGCAGAUGGUUUGCCGUCAAAGAGUCAGAGGCUGGCAAGAUGGCUCAAUGAAUAAAGGCAUUGGCCACCAAUUCCGAUGACCUGAAGAAAAAGGGAUUGGGGUCUUAAAACAGUGUGGUGAAAGAACUGUGAACUCUGGAACCCACACUGCCUGGGUUCAAACCCCCACACUCCCUAUUGGCUCUUUGAUGUGGAAAAAUUAUUUACUCUCCCCAUGCUUUGGUUUCUGUCUUUGAAAAAUGGGAGGGAGUAGUGAAUAAGAGUUCUCAUGGGCUCAACUGAAUUUAUAGUUGUAAAGUUCAUGGAAGAGGUCACUUGGACAGCAAAGAAUUUCUGUAAUCCACCCAACACACAUCUGUGGAUCAGGCACCAGAGAGACUGUUUGGUGGGAAUUCUUAACGAGUUCAUCCUAGGAACCAAGUACCCACUUCCACGUCUUCUGACACCAUCUUGCAUUUUGGACCAGUGAUCCCCUGGUGUGGUUUCUCUACCUUCCUGGUUGAGCAUGUGUCACACUCACCCUGAUCAGCUCUUCCCUCAGGGAGUUCCUCACUUGCUGCCUCAAAGCCCACAUUGCUUCUUCUGUCUUCAUUCAUGCCUGCUGGGCCCGCGGUUGAUAUAAUAUGACACCUGCCACUAAGACCUCUCUGAAUUCUAGAUCCAGUCAGUCAGUGCAUGCUUGGCAGGCUUGUGGCACCUCCCAGAAGCUCCCAGUGAGUGAAAAGCCCUCCUGAUCUUGUCUCCUCACCUGGGACAACCAGGGUCAGUGAGUAGCACAACCAUCCAUGCAGGCCUGGAAAACACCUCCUCGGGCUGCUACCCGACCCAGUCCUUACACAGACCUAUCAGCUCUUCUAUUCAGACCCUGGAUGCUGCCUUCCUCCUCAAUGGUAUACACACGACACGGUUAGGGGAGAACUAUAAAGUUGUAGGUACUUGGUUGAAUGUGGAAAAUGGAAAGAAACUAAAUCAUCCCGUGAAGCGGUCAUAUGUUGUAUAAUGGCAUUUUGGUUUAAAAUGGGGCCACAAGUAUCAUGGUGGCCCCGUGGACUAUAUCACAGAAGAGAAUCAUUGAGGAUGAAAUGCUUAAUGUGGAGCCUGAAACUUGGGGCUCACCAGAGAGAAAUGUGGGGAAGCACUCCAAGCUCUGGGAAGAUUUUCUGAACAGGAACCCCAAAGCCCAAAAAGGAAAAGGGAGGCGCUGACAAACAGGAUUGCAUCAAAUUCAAAGGGGUCUGUACAGCAAAGGCCACGAUGACAGAGGGAAAGAGACAGACUAUGGGACCACAGAAAAGCCGUUGCCAGCUAUUCAUCUGACCAGGGAUAGGUAUCCCGAAGAACUAAAAAACUUAAAACACAACAAUAGAUGUUCAUCUAAUCAAUAGAUGAACAAAUGAAUUAAAAAGAUACUUUCAAAAGAAAUACAAAUGCCUAAAAACACAUGAACAAUAAAUACUCAGCCUUCCCAAUCUGGAAAAUUCAAAUCAAAAUUACACUGAGAGGGUGAGGAUGUAGCUCUUUUGGCAGAGUGCUUCCCCAGGGUGCCAAAGUCUUGGGUUUGAUCCUAGCACCCCACAAGCUAGGUGUGGUAUUGCAUGCCUGAAACCCCCACAUUUAGCAUGCGGAUGUAGAGUGAUUAGAAAUUCAAGGUCAUCCUUGACUACACAGCAAAUUAAAGGCCAGCCUGGAAUUCAUGAGAUCCUGGUUCAAAAACUCAACAAAAACACUGGUACUCUUCCAAUCUCAUACUUGGGAGGCUAAGCAGAAUGACUGCCAUGAGUUCAAGGCCAGCCUGGAUUUCAUAAUGCAGUCCAGUACAGGUCAUCCUGGGCUAAGGGUGAGACUGUCUCAAAAACAACAACAACAAAAAAAUAUCAAAACAGUGAGAUUCCAUCUUGUCAGUAGAAAUGUGUAUCAUCACAAUCACCACAAAAACAAGUAAUGGCAAUGAUAUAGGAGUGAAAAAAAAAAAGCAAUCCUUACACAGUUGGUGGGAAUGUAAAUUAGUCCAGCCACUAUGGAAAUCAGUAUGGAUGUUCCUCAAAAAACUGAAAAUAGAAACACUGUAGAAUCCUGCUACCCACUUUUAGAUAUAUUCCUGAAGGAAUCUAAGCCAACAUACCCAAAUGUACCUGCACAACAUGGCUAUUAUGUCAGUCAAGGUACUGGGGACUGACCCCAAGUCAAGUGCCCUACCAACUGAGCCACACCUCCAUCCCCUGACCUCACUUCUUACAGUUUCCCACCUGAGGCUGUACCCUGAGCUCCACAUGCAUGCCAUGAUAUAUGUGUGUACAUACACAGAUUUUUAAAACAAAUUCCAGAAAUGAAAAUUUCACAAAUUUUAAAUAACUCUUAUCAUAGUAUGUGGUAGUUUUAAUAUAAUUGGCUCCCAUAAGCUCAAGGAGAGAGACACUAUUAGGAGGUAUAGCCUUGUUGAAGUAGGUGUGGCCUUGUUGGAGGAAGCGUGUCACUGUGGGGGCAGGCUUUGAGGUCUCCUAUGCUCAAGCAAGGCCUAGUUCAGACCACUUCCUGUUGCCUGAAGGUCAAUAUCUAAGGACUCUGAGCUCCACUUGUACCACGUCUGCCUGCAUGCUGCCUUGCUUCCUGCCAUGAUGAUAAUGGACUAAACCUCUAAACUAUAAGUGAGCUACCCCAAUUAAGUGUUUUCCUUUAUAAGAGUUGCUGUGGUCAUGCUACACAGUAUAUUGUUACUAUUAA